GAUCGUUUGGCCGAGUGGUUAUGGCGUGUGACUCAAGCGAUUCUCUAAGAAGAGCUUUCUCCAUCACGGAGAGUUUUCUCAUGGGCUUUGCCCGCGAGGGUUCGAAUCCCUCAGCGAUCA